rnacentral:rRNA from 1 species
CCUACGGGCGGCAGCAGUGGGGAAUAUUGGGCAAUGGGCGCAAGCCUGACCCAGCAAUGCCGCGUGAAGGAAGAAGGCUCUCGGGUUGUAAACUUCUUUGUCAGGGAAGAGCAGAAGACGGUACCUGUCGAAUAAGCCACUGCAAACUACGUGCCAGCAGCCGCGGUACUACGGAGGUGGCAAGCGGUGUCCGGAUUUACUGGGUGUAACGGGCGUGUAGCCGGGCUGACAAGUCAGAUGUGAAAUCCGGGGGCUCAACCCCCGAACUGCAUUUGAAACUGUUGGUCUUGAGUAUCGGAGAGGCAGGCGGAAUGCCUGGUGUAGCGGUGAAAUGCGUAGAUAUUAGGAGGAACACCAGUGGCGAAGGCGGCCUGCUGGACGACAACUGACGGUGAGGCGCGAAAGCGUGGGGAGCGAACAGGAUUAGAUACCCUGGUAGUC